UACGAAGGGGGCUAGCGUUGUUCGGAAUUACUGGGCGUAAAGCGCACGUAGGCGGAUUUGUAAGUCAGGGGUGAAAUCCCGGGGCUCAACCUCGGAACUGCCUUUGAUACUGAAGAUCUUGAGUUCGGGAGAGGUGAGUGGAACUGCGAGUGUAGAGGUGAAAUUCGUAGAUAUUCGCAAGAACACCAGUGGCGAAGGCGGCUCACUGGCCCGAUACUGACGCUGAGGCACGAAAGCGUGGGGAGCAAACAGGG
rnacentral:rRNA from 1 species